rnacentral:rRNA from 1 species
GACAGAGGGUGCAAACGUUGUUCGGAAUUACUGGGCGUAAAGCGCGUGUAGGCUGCUCUGCAAGUCGGAUGUGAAAGCCCUGGGCUCAACCUAGGAAGUGCACUCGAAACUGCAGAGCUUGAAGUCUGGAGAGGAAGGCGGAAUUCUCGGUGUAGAGGUGAAAUUCGUAGAUAUCGAGAGGAACACCGGUGGCGAAGGCGGCCUUCUGGACAGCACUUGACGCUGAGACGCGAAAGCGUGGGGAGCAAAC